AGUGUAGUCCCUAAAUAAAUGUCUUUCAAAUUCCAACAACAGAUUGUCUGAAUCAGACACCUGAAAUGCAUGCCAAGAAGUCUUGCAAGCAGGCAGUCUACACAUGAAAACAAACUCUACAAUAGAUUCUCUUGAAAUUAAAUUCCUACACCAUUAUACUAUAUUAAAUACUUUGUGUCCCAAAGCUACAGGUGAAAACAAGAAUAAAUAUUUCACUCGUAUUAUCCAAACUUGAAUCCCUAUUGUUUUCAAUAUCCCUACUGACUGUACCA
rnacentral:lncRNA from 1 species